rnacentral:rRNA from 1 species
UACGUAGGUGGCGAGCGUUGUCCGGAUUUACUGGGCGUAAAGAGCGCGCAGGCGGUCGUACAAGUCGCGUGUGAAAGCCCCCGGCUCAACUGGGGAGGGUCACGCGAUACUGUUCGACUCGAAGGCAGGAGAGGGAAGUGGAAUUCCCGGUGUAGUGGUGAAAUGCGUAGAUAUCGGGAGGAACACCAGUGGCGAAGGCGGUUACCUGGAGCUUUGCUGACGCUGAUGCGCGAAAGCGUGGGGAGCGAUCCGG